GGCUCCAUCGUCUAAUGGUUAGGACAUCGCCCUCUCAAGGCGGUAAUAGGGGUUCGAAUCCCCUUGGAGUCACCA
rnacentral:tRNA from 1 species